AAACGAGGAAGUGAAGUCAAGUCCGCCAUUUCAUCUUCUUCUUUUUAUCGGAAAAGAAAGGAAUCAUGCAAGGAUGCAAGCUGAAGGAAAGGACAACUCUCACAUCAGUGCAUUACUAAUUGUUUGACUUCAUCAUCAAGCACACCAGGUGGUGCGGUGCACAGUGGAUAGCUCUGUUGCCUCCCAGCAAAAAUGUUUCUGGUUCGAGCCUCGGCUGGGUCAGUUGGCAUUUCUGUGUGAAGUUUGUAUGUUCUCCCCGUGUUGGCGUGGGUUUCCUCCAGGUGCUCCUGUUUCCCCCACAAGACAUGCGGUACAGGUGAAUUGGGUAAGCUAAAUUGUCCUUAGUGAAUGUGUGUAAAUGAGAGUGUAUGGGUUUUUCCCAG
ensembl:processed_transcript